CUUCCGAACACACAGAUAUGGUGACUAACAAUCAACCAAAUCGAGUUUACACCAGCAAUAUGGUCGGAAAUGUUUUAAACGGUUUCUUUGAACCUUUUAAGGGUGCAUUUAGUUCCUGCUUGGAAAUUAAUUGAGCCAUGAGUAAGCAGUCAGCUGGCACAAAGCUAUGCAAAGUGCACCUCCAGAAACCAAUGGGGAAUUUGUAAUUCUCUUAUCAUAUGGCCGUAAUGUGUUCGAGCGGGGGGUUAAGUAAAGGUUAACACGCUGCAGUGAUCACGUGUGCGCACACACGCAAACUACUGUUGUGUAAUUCACUAUACUACUCAAAAACAGUGGACACUAACCUUCCUGAUAACACGAGUGGCCCGAAACAUGCUGAAGAUUCAUUUUAAUAGCACAGCUGGUGUACGUGAAAUUUCUUCCCAUCAUGUAAUACUGGGUCUCCAUACAUAGGGGAAAUUAACACUUUUUAGCAAAAUGCCCUCCAGAAUUUUCCAUACAUAGUUUAUAUUAUAUAAUUUUUAUAUAUAUUUUUCAGCCUUUAAGAAUGCUUUUUUGACAAAAGAAGAACGUGUUGAAAUCAUUCUCACGGCUGGAUCAGGAAGCAGUCGCAAGGUUGCGAUGGACUUUAACAGGAAACAUGGCAAGCACAUCACACACGACACUGUUGCCAAACUUCUUAACAAAUUCAAAAAGACUGGAAGUGUUGCGGACCACCCGAGAAGUAGACAUCUAUGAACAUCCACUGACGAAGGCACAACCUAUGUAUGGAGGCUUUUGGACUUUUAGCAAUUCGCAGAAGAACGGCGGAGCUUUCCGGAGCUAACAGAAGCUGUGAUGUGACAGCCACCACUCAGCACAAUCUGCCAAGAUAAUGAGAUAAGCAACAAACGUGAAGACGACCACUCUAUCAGCUAAGAGCUACCAAGGAAACCAUGGCAACCACCGGAGCAGAAACGCCUACUAUUGACGAACGCAUAUCAUUUUGGGUGACAUGGGAUGGAAAAAUGAAAGACUGCUGCUAAGUGAACAUGUUUCAGUAUGCUUGGGUGCUUCCUUACCUAGAACCAAGUGUAAACCAUGAAAUAAAGAAAUUAAAUUAAAAAAGUCGGUAUGUCCAUGGGUUAUUGUAUCGUGUGAUUGAAUAUUUUUACAUAUUUGAGA